rnacentral:tRNA from 1 species
UGCGGAGUGCGUAGAAAUGGUAUCUCACGAGGCUCAUAUCCUCGGGUUCUGGGUUCGAUUCCCAGCUCCGCAG